UGCCCCAGUAACGGCGAGUGAAGCGGCAAGAGCUCAAAUUUGAAAUCUGGCCCCCUCGGGGCCCGAGUUGUAAUUUGCAGAGGAUGCUUCGGGUUCGGCCCCGGUCUAAGUCCCCUGGAACGGGGCGUCAUGGAGGGUGAGAAUCCCGUCUGGGAUCGACGGCCGGACCCGUGUGAAGCUCCUUCGACGAGUCGAGUUGUUUGGGAAUGCAGCUCCAAAUGGGUGGUAAAUUUCAUCUAAAGCUAAAUACUGGUCGGAGACCGAUAGCGCACAAGUAGAGUGAUCGAAAGAUGAAAAGCACUUUGAAAAGAGAGUUAAACAGCAUGUGAAAUUGUUGAAAGGGAAGCGCUUGCGACCAGACUCGCCCGCGGGGGCUCAGCCGGCAUUCUUGCCGGUGCACUCCCCCGCGGUCGGGCCAGCGUCGGUUUGGGCGGUCGGUCAAAGGUCCCCGGAAUGUGUCGCCCCUCGGGGCGUCUUAUAGCCGGGGGCGCAAUGCGGCCUGCCCGGACCGAGGAACGCGCUUCGGCACGGACGCUGGCGUA
rnacentral:rRNA from 1 species